CACACCAGGUGCUCUGGAAAGGCUGCUGUGAAGCACAGGACAAGGACUCUGCCUCACAGCAUCCCUGUGUAUUUUAAUACUCCAAGCUCCUGUGAAACUGGUAGGGAGCUCUCUGUGCUGCCUGAUUCUGAGUAAAUUGCUUCUUGAACUAGGAAGUGCUGUUCCUUUAAUCUGUUGAGGUGUGAUACAAAGGCCAAAUCUCCACCCAUUCUGAACAUAACGUUCCUUUGGCUCUAUCUUAUAAAAAGCUGAGGUUGUGCUGGAGGAGACCAAGGCACUCCUUCAGCUUCCUCGGGAUCAUCUCGUGACUAGUUGGAAGGAUGAAGCUCCUGACACUUUGUGGCUUUUUGCUUGUCUGUCUUUUGUGCUUCAAUGCCUUUGCUGCAGAAGGUCAGAAGAACAGACUCUGCUGCUUAAAAGCACCCAAACUCAAGCUAAAAAUGCGUAAAGGUAUAAGUUCUAAAAUGACUCAACUGGAAAAAAGGAAAUACUGCAAGCCUUGUUCUCAGCGAGUCCCUCCAGUGAUUUCUGGACCACUUCCACAGCUAAAAUGAGCAGACUGAGAGGAGGGUGAAAAGCAUCUGCCUACAUGCACAACUGACAGUGCUUCACUAUCUUGAGGACCCUCCUUUCACAUUGCUUUUUAUUUGGGGAAAGGCUUCGGUAUUGUUUGUGUAUGCCUUCACUCAGGCAUCUUUGUUAGUAUUAACCUGGCAGAAAGAGUCAGGCGAAGUUGUCUGGCUGCCACCAGACUUUGUGUCAGUUGAAUGUUCCUCUGCUCCAAGCAGGGAUUUAGCUCCUUAAGAGAAUGAGGAGAACUGGUUGAGAGGUAGCUGGAUUGCAUUGGUUUGUAUUUCUAAAUUACUUAAAAGGUGGUGAAGGGUUGAUGCUUUUGUUUCUAGUUACCAGUAUACUUGCAAAUUUAAUAUUUUCUUUUAAUUAUUUAUUUUUUAUUAACAAAGGUGUUUGUAUGAUCAUCAAUCAUUGAUGAUUUUUCCUGCAGCCCUUGUGCUCAGUGCUUGCAAUCCACUUGGAAAUAGAUUUCUACAAAUGAUAAAAAUCUCAUCAUUUAGAAAGGGCUGAGAAACUAGAUAAGCUGGUUGUUAAAAUAGUGGUGAUGGGCCAGAUGCAAGUAAGAUUUUCAAUAUGUUUUCCAAGGGGGCUAAAUCUGACUUUAAAAUCAAAGUGGCCUGGUUUUAACUUCCUUAAGAGUGUCAUCAGGUGGUUAUUAAAGAGCACACUGAAAAGAUAUUAAACCUAAUCAGAUUUCAUCUGUUCCUCUGAAGCCAGAAGGCAGCUUUUCUUUCAAGACAACAGAGUUGUGUGAUCACCUCAAUAAACAAAGCUUACUGGAGCAUGAAAUAAAUGCUAAGAAUAAUACCAAAGGGCUGAAUAACAGAGAAACUAAAGCACCUGCUGAUACUUUAGUCAUGUGUCUUCUGUUCUUUCCUGACUGUCCUCUGCAUUGCUGCUAUUUCUCUGCCUGGGGGAGAGUCCUUAAAACUGAAUUACUUGGUUAUUCAUAAAUUCACUUUUUCUUCUAGUGAAUAUGAGGAGGAGUAGGAACCUUUUCUGCUGCUGGGCAAAUUGCAGAUUGCAAAUAGUAAUUUUUCUGUCAGUACUCAUAGUACUACUCUUAACAUAAUUGUCAGUAUGAUAGAAAUGGUUUUGGUGCCCUUCACAAUCUGGGGGAGUUGAAUGGGAACAGUCAGAGGUCUGUUGUAACUCACACAGGCAAAUGCAAUUCCAAAAGGUCAAGUUUAUGGGCACUUACUCAGGGUCCUGCUCUUACUGAGAAUGUUUCUAUUGUACUGAGCAAUUGAACCUACUUCUGGGUCUUCUGUGUGCUUGCUAUUACUUUAUUUUCAUACUGGUUUUGAGAGCAGGUAGAUCUGACACUCAGCUUUCUAUUUUUGAAGACCUGACCAUGCAUAGCAUUUUUUAUAUCAAGGAUAAAAGAACUUCCAGUCCUCCUUGCAAGACAUCUGAAUCAGGAGGUUGGUGGAAGAACUGUGUUUCAUUGUUCAGUUCUGGUCAGGGGGCCAACAGAUUUUAUUUCUAUUGUUUUGUGGAGCUCACAGAAAGAAUCUGUAGAAUAUAAAUGACAAGUAAAUGUAAAAAGCGUUUUUGGUAUUGUUUGAUGCAGGGUUGUCCCUGUAAAAUAUGGCCAUGUGUUUACUGCUCUGUAUAAAGCAUCACUAACAGGUUGAAAGAUUCUGUUCUCUAAUGUGAGUUUAAGCCCUUUUCUUUUAUAAGAAAAAUGCUCUAUGAUUUUCUCUUUGCCUUACACCCUCCAAACAGCAUGCUCCACACUCUCCAACCCUCCUUCAGGCAAAAUGCUCCCUCUGAUAAGAAAAGCAUAAGCCCCAGAGACCAUUAGCACAAUUCUUACAGAAAUACUCUAGAUCUCUGGAGAGAUCUGAGGGCAUAAUUCAAUGCACUUAAGUAUUUUUACUUAGUUUCCCAUGCUGGCCUCAAUCCCUGGUUGGGGGCUAUUCCAGUUAAAGAUGCUACUUGUCUAAAGUCCCAGCCUUGGCUAAGCAGACUAAAGCAAGAACCUCCAAAUUAUUUCAGCAUGGACUGUGACUGCUGCCCAAAUGCUUUGUUGCAUCUUUUAGAAGUAUCAGAAUACUGUGUGUCUUCUUGAAUGCAAUUCCUCAGCAGAGUUGGACUCUUAUGUACCAGGCCAUUUCCCCAUGUGGUAGAACAGAGCUACCAUCUGAUCAUGGUUUCACUUACAGGCAUCUGUUCCUCCUUUUGUUUUCCUUUCACUUCUACAUGUAUUUGUCUGGCAUUACUGGAAGAGAAACAUAUUUGCUCAGUGGCUUUUCAAAAUACACAAACUGUAUGCUUAUAUAAAGUAGUAAAUUUAUCUUGUCCAAGCUGACAAAUGCAUUUUUUGUAUCUUGUGGUUUUGUAUGCAUUCUGCUGUCAAGCAAGAAAAUUGCACAGCCCUUAAGUUGCAAUAAAGAUGUUUCUGAAGUGUC